UGGGGAAUAUUGCACAAUGGGCGCAAGCCUGAUGCAGCAACGCCGCGUGAGCGAAGAAGGUCUUCGGAUCGUAAAGCUCUGUCCUUGAGGAAGAAGGAAGUGACGGUACUCAAGGAGGAAGCCCCGGCUAACUACGUGCC
rnacentral:rRNA from 1 species